rnacentral:rRNA from 1 species
GUGGGGAAUAUUGGACAAUGGGCGAAAGCCUGAUCCAGCCAUGCCGCGUGAGUGAUGAAGGCCUUAGGGUUGUAAAGCUCUUUCAGUAGGGAAGAUAAUGACGGUACCUACAGAAGAAGCCCCGGCUAACUUCGUGCCAGCAGCCGCGGUAAUACGAAGGGGGCUAGCGUUGUUCGGAUUUACUGGGCGUAAAGCGCACGUAGGCGGAUCGUUAAGUCGGGGGUGAAAUCCUGGAGCUCAACUCCAGAACUGCCUUCGAUACUGGCGAUCUUGAGUCCGGAAGCGGUGAGUGGAACUCCUAGUGUAGAGGUGGAAUUCGUAGAUAUUAGGAAGAACACCAGUGGCGAAGGCGGCUCACUGGUCCGGUACUAACGCUGAGGUGCGAAAGCGUGGGGAGCAAACAGGAUUAGAAACCCUAGUAGUCC